AACGAAUGCUGGCGGCAUGCCUAACACAUGCAAGUCGAACGAGACCUUCGGGUCUAGUGGCGCACGGGUGCGUAACGCGUGGGAACCUGCCCUUAGGUUCGGAAUAACUCCCCGAAAGGGGUGCUAAUACCGGAUAAUGUCUUCGGACCAAAGAUUUAUCGCCUUUGGAUGGGCCCGCGUUGGAUUAGCUAGUUGGUAGGGUAAAAGCCUACCAAGGCGACGAUCCAUAGCUGGUCUGAGAGGAUGAUCAGCCACACUGGGACUGAGACACGGCCCAGACUCCUACGGGAGGCAGCAGUGGGGAAUAUUGGACAAUGGGCGAAAGCCUGAUCCAGCAAUGCCGCGUGAGUGAUGAAGGCCUUAGGGUUGUAAAGCUCUUUUACCCGGGAUGAUAAUGACAGUACCGGGAGAAUAAGCGCCGGCUAACUCCGUG
rnacentral:rRNA from 1 species